UACAGAGGUGGCAAGCGUUGUUCGGAAUUACUGGGCGUAAAGGGCGCGUAGGCGGUCUUGUAAGUCUUGUGUGAAAUCCCUCGGCUUAACUGGGGAGGUCAUUCGAUACUGCUCGACUUGAAGGCAGGAGAGGGUAGUGGAAUUCCCGGUGUAGUGGUGAAAUGCGUAGAUAUCGGGAGGAACACCAGUGGCGAAGGCGACUACCUGGCCUGUUCUUGACGCUGAGGCGCGAAAGCUAGGGGAGCAAACGGG
rnacentral:rRNA from 1 species